rnacentral:rRNA from 1 species
UACGGAGGGAGCUAGCGUUGUUCGGAAUUACUGGGCGUAAAGCGCACGUAGGCGGCUUUGUAAGUUAGAGGUGAAAGCCCGGAGCUCAACUCCGGAACUGCCAUUGAAACUGUAGAACUUGAGGAUGAGAGAGGUGAGUGGAAUUCCCAGUGUAGAGGUGAAAUUCGUAGAUAUUGGGAGGAACACCGGUGGCGAAGGCGGCAUCCUGGACCGAGAUUGACGCUGAGGCGCGAAAGCCAGGGGAGCAAACGGG